CGAGACAGAUCGGUGCACAAGAUAGACAGCAGAGUCUCAUCGCUCCUUCAUUCCCACCUCACUAGCAGCAUGCCAGCUGGGAUGUUCAGGGUUCUACUGGUGUCGUCCACACGAUCUCCUCAGUGGAAACUUGCUCCUCAGACAACAUUCAGGAAAUACUACAGCAAGCCCCCCAAAGGCAAAGUUGGACCGUUUGAAACCAUUAUUGGACUUUCUGUUUUUUCCCUUGGUAUCCUCACACCAGCAGGAUGGAUCCUCGUACACCUCCCUGAACCACCAAAACACUAAAAGGACAUUGUCUCCACCGUGACAUCAAGAUGACCUCAUAAUAAGACGGGAGAAAUUUAUUCUGAAAAAUCUAGAGACUAACUAAUUUUAUUUACAACUUUGUUGAUGUUCUUGUAGCCUUAGACACGUGGCAAGUGUGUUAGGGGCCCAUUUAUCAUUCCUCGCAUAUUCAAUGCAAUCUGGGUGUGAUAUUAUCGGGGAAUGUAUUAAGAGCACCCACAGCGACAGGGGAACCAAAAGGACUCCAUCCCUGUGAUGCGCUCAAUGAGUUGCCGCACAUGCACUGUAUUCACUACUGGGGAGGGUUCUGGGGGAACCCUCUGCUGGCUAGCAAAGCAGUGAGUAGUCCAUAGGCUACAAUGGGCUAUUGACAUCUUCAGGUGGGGGUCAAUCUCCAAAAUGUAUCGCAUUCCGGAAAUGGACAAAUCUGGCAGCAUCUUAUUCCCUGUAGAAACCUAUGGAGGAUGCAGCUGCCAGCGAGAAUGGGGGGCUUGCAACAGGUGUUGGAGAUAUCUGCUGCGGUCCCUCCUACAUACAUUCGGGGGAUACUUAAUAUUUGCGGCUAACCCCUGUAAAACAGGUGUUUUGGGGGAAAUAGCCACAAAUAUUGUUUCAUGAAUGGGCCCCUUAGUCAUAUGAGUAUACCGUGUUUAAUACAACAUUAAGGGCAUUUAAGGAAAGAAUGUUAGUCAAUUGGGUUACCACUGUAUGGUGAUCAUGAGCUUCAUUCAGUUUAACGUUUCCAUUUUUCUCAUUUACAUAUGAAAUCAAUCAUACUUGUUUCACUGGGAAGUCCAAGUCCUCUCUGCUUAUGUACCUAGACUUCUAGAUGCAGAUUCAAAUAAAGAGUGGAAAAAAAGUCAAAAGAAACAAAAA